UACGUAGGGGGCAAGCGUUGUCCGGAUUUAUUGGGCGUAAAGAGCGUGUAGGCGGCCAGAUAGGUCCGUUGUGAAAACUGGAGGCUUAACCUCCAGCGGUCGAUGGAAACCAUUUGGCUAGAGUCCGGAAGAGGAGAGUGGAAUUCCUGGUGUAGCGGUGAAAUGCGCAGAUAUCGGGAGGAACACCAGUGGCGAAGGCGGCUUUCUGGGCCUUACCUGACGCUGAGA
rnacentral:rRNA from 1 species